GACGAACGCUGGCGGCGUGCUUAACACAUGCAAGUCGAGCGGAAAGGCCACUUCGGUGGUACUCGAGCGGCGAACGGGUGAGUAACACGUGGGCAACCUGCCCCCGGCUCUGGGAUAACUCCAAGAAAUCGGGGCUAAUACCGGAUAUGACCGCUGACCGCAUGGUCUGGUGGUGGAAAGUUUUUCGGCUGGGGAUGGGCCCGCGGCCUAUCAGCCUGUUGGUGGGGUAGUGGCCUACCAAGGCGACGACGGGUAGCCGGCCUGAGAGGGUGACCGGCCACACUGGGACUGAGACACGGCCCAGACUCCUACGGGAGGCAGCAGUGGGGAAUAUUGCGCAAUGGGCGGAAGCCUGACGCAGCGACGCCGCGUGGGGGAUGACGGCCUUCGGGUUGUAAACCUCUUUCAGCAGGGACGAAGCGAAAGUGACGGUACCUGCAGAAGAAGCACCGGCCAACUACGUGCCAGCCGCCGCCGUAAGAC
rnacentral:rRNA from 1 species